GACCGAAUAAUGUUGUAAUCACCCACUCACAUGCAAUUACGUAAUACUUAUGGCUGUUUCUUCCGCAAGUAACAACGGAGCUUUAACGAAAGAAUCAUUCAUGAGUCCUUCGAUUUAUGAGGAGUGAGGACAAUAUGUAUUCUAAGUUAGAUACCCAGAGUAUUUUAUGACCUUAUACACAGCUACAAUGGCAAAACUCCGUGUAUACCAUUUCG
rnacentral:lncRNA from 1 species